UACGUAGGGGGCAAGCGUUGUCCGGAUUUAUUGGGCGUAAAGAGCGUGUAGGCGGCUAGAUAGGUCCGUUGUGAAAACUCGAGGCUCAACCUCGAGACGCCGGUGGAAACCAUCUAGCUAGAGUCCGGAAGAGGAGAGUGGAAUUCCUGGUGUAGCGGUGAAAUGCGCAGAUAUCAGGAAGAACACCCGUGGCUAAGGCGGCUCUCUAGUACGUGACUGACGCUGAGACGCGAAAGCGUGGGGAGCGAACAGG
rnacentral:rRNA from 1 species